rnacentral:tRNA from 1 species
UGCAAUUGAAGUAUUUAAUGGUACAUCUUAUUUACACUAAGAAAGUCUCUAAUUAGAGCAGUUGC